AGUGAACGCUGGCGGUGGGCCUAACACAUGCAAGUCGAACGGCAGCACAGUAAGAGCUUGCUCUUACGGGUGGCGAGUGGCGGACGGGUGAGGAAUACAUCGGAAUCUACUUUUUCGUGGGGGAUAACGUAGGGAAACUUACGCUAAUACCGCAUACGACCUACGGGUGAAAGCAGGGGAUCUUCGGACCUUGCGCGAUUGAAUGAGCCGAUGUCGGAUUAGCUAGUUGGCGGGGUAAAGGCCCACCAGGGCGACGAUCCGUAGCUGGUCUGAGAGGAUGAUCAGCCACACUGGAACUGAGACACGGUCCAGACUCCUACGGGAGGCAGCAGUGGGGAAUAUUGGACAAUGGGCGCAAGCCUGAUCCAGCCAUACCGCGUGGGUGAAGAAGGCCUUCGGGUUGUAAAGCCCUUUUGUUGGGAAAGAAAAGCAGCAGGUUAAUACCCCGCUGUUCUGACGGUACCCAAAGAAUAAGCACCGGCUACCUUCGUG
rnacentral:rRNA from 1 species